rnacentral:rRNA from 1 species
CUUACGCUGGCUCUUCUGGUAUCCCNGAAUGACAAGCCCCUCUUGGGAACGUUGGANCCAGCCUUGCCUUCUUUGUUGAAAACAAACAACCCNGUGAAUCUAAAAUAUGAGGAGUCCCCUGACCUUAUNUUUNAUUANGGGGGAGNA